CUCGAGCGCACGUGUGACCGAUAACAAUAGGCCCAUAAACACUAAAUCUAAAAAACAAUUGCUUUAUCACAAAUUAAACUUAAGUAUUAAAAAACUUUCAACAGAUUUCCAGAGACGUUUAUACGAACACAAAACCAAGUUAUGUGGACGUUAUUAAUACCAACCGCGCGAGGUAUCAGUGAUAACAUCAAUACAAAUGUCGGUCAUUACUCAUAAGCAGCAGCAAUCGAUUGGACGACGUUGGAUAUAUUUUAGCCUUCAUAUAAGUAUGCAGUGAUGUAAGCUAUUCGUUCAGCUGCCACUACCACCACUACGACGGUGCACACCGGUGGCAGUGCGGUUCUUGUAAUAUAAAACAUCCCUUCAGAACAACAGUACACACUCAGUUUCUUUGUCCUAUCAUAACGACGACGCCAUGGUCGCCAUCUUGUUCAAAACAAUAAAAUCCAAUUCAGUUUUACCACGAAUAGGUCAGCGAAAUAAAAUCAAGUCAAACACUAAACGAAUUAAAAACAAUAUAAAAAAUGUCUACCGAAAUAUCUUUACAAAGGCCAGGUGCGAGUGCCGAUUGUCAAACUGGGCCUAUCAAAAGUCCCCCAGGCGCGAGAACAACAUUAAUACUCAUCCGAAUAAUAAAAUAAAUAAAUGAAAAUUAUUAUCAUACGCGAAAACGAUAUUUCGUUUCUCUUUCCCUCGAGCCCAAACAGUCUUUCCAAAAAAAUUUAAAGAAAGAACAACUCUCGUUGCAGUGGGUCGAACUCGGUACCUCGAUGACGUCCAGAACGGUCGCCUACAGAAAAACUUAGAAGAGAAAC